GGGGGUGAUCCGGUUUCGACGGGAUGUGUUGAAGUCAGAUUGCGCACCGUGGAUGCUCGUUGGCCACGUUAAAAAACGGGUAAAAACUGUAAUUGCGAACAACGAUUACGCUCUCGCCGCCUAAAUAACGGCCGCGAAGUCGAAGCGCCGAUGCCUGCUGAGCGCCGAGGCUUAAUUGAGCAGGCCACGCUGCAGGGAGAUCCUCUUGCCCGCUGCAGGGUGCCGAACCAUGAGGGUGGGUGCGGAUAAGCCCGGUUGUCGGCGUACCGCAUCCGAGAUCAAAGGCAGCCUACGUGCGUAGACGUUUGGGUGACGCCAUUUCGGACAGGGGUUCGACUCCCCUCACCUCCACCA
rnacentral:tmRNA from 1 species